CCUACGGGAGGCAGCAGUGAGGAAUAUUGGACAAUGGGCGCAAGCCUGAUCCAGCCAUGCCGCGUGCAGGAAGAAGCAUCUAUGGUGUGUAAACUGCUUUUGUACAGGAAGAAACACUCCCUCGUGAGGGAGCUUGACGGUACUGUAAGAAUAAGGACCGGCUAACUCCGUGCCAGCAGCCGCGGUAAUACGGAGGGUCCGAGCGUUAUCCGGAAUCAUUGGGUUUAAAGGGUCCGUAGGCGGUUUAAUAAGUCAGUGGUGAAAUCUGGUCGCUCAACGAUCAAACGGCCAUUGAUACUGUUAGACUUGAAUUAUAAGGAAGUAACUAGAAUAUGUAGUGUAGCGGUGAAAUGCUUAGAUAUUACAUGGAAUACCAAUUGCGAAGGCAGGUUACUACUUAUGGAUUGACGCUGAUGGACGAAAGCGUGGGGAGCGAACAGGAUUAGAUACCCUGGUAGUCCACGCCGUAAACGAUGGAUACUAGCUGUUCGGAGCAAUCUGAGUGNGUAGAGAAGUAGAUAAGUAUACCACCGUCGGGUAGGUACGUUCGUCGAAGAAGAGAACGAACGAAAGGAAAGUUAGUACGGACGUGAGACGUGACGACGGACGACGACGAGGGAGGAGG
rnacentral:rRNA from 1 species